GACGAACGCUGGCGGCGUGCUUAACACAUGCAAGUCGAACGGAAAGGCCCUGCACUUGUGGGGUGCUCGAGUGGCGAACGGGUGAGUAACACGUGGGUAACCUGCCCUUGACUUUGGGAUAACUUCAGGAAACUGGGGCUAAUACCGGAUAGGAGCUCCUGCUGCAUGGUGGGGGUUGGAAAGUUUCGGCGGUUGGGGAUGGACUCGCGGUUUAUCAGCAUGUUGGUGGGGUAGUGGCUUACCAAGGCGUUGACGGGUAGCCGGCCUGAGAGGGUGACCGGCCACAUUGGGACUGAGAUACGGCCCAGACUCCUACGUGAGGCAGCAGUGGGGAAUAUUGCACAAUGGGCGGAAGCCUGAUGCAGCAACGCCGCGUGCGGGAUGACGGCCUGCGGGUUGUAAACCGCGUUCGCCUGUGACGAAGCGUGAGUGACGGUAAUGGGUAAAGAAGCACCGGCUAACUACGUG
rnacentral:rRNA from 1 species